UCUAGCAUAAUAAAAUAUUUUGAGCUCACCUUGUACUUUCUUGUCUUAGGUCUGAAGUCAACCAUUGUCCCAAGAAGCCUAGGAGUAAGAUGUGGGCUAGCAUGCUCAUUGCUACAAGACUGUCAUAAAGAUUUCUUUUUGAGAACUUAUGAUGGAAGAAUAUCCAUGGCCUAAGUUCAGGCAAUUAAGGGAACAUUGAUUUCCAUAUAGAAUCAAUGAAAAGCUGGAAGUUUACACCAAGUGUCAGAAUUUUGUCUGAGUAAGUUACAGAUGACUUAACGUUGGGCCUUCUUCUAUCUUCAUU
rnacentral:lncRNA from 1 species